rnacentral:snRNA from 1 species
GUGCUUGCUUCGGCAGCACAGAUUGUAAAACGGGAAGAUACAGAGAGAUGAGCAGGGCCCCUGUGCAAGGACGGCACGUAAAUUCGUGAAGCGUCCCCUAUUUUU